CAUUUUAACGUCAUAGAUUUAGCUGGUGGUAACUUGUGGAAUAGGCACCGGCUGGAAUGUGGUUUUAACCAAUCUAUAUUCAGGAUUAAACCCCCCAUUGUAUAAAAUUAAAAUUGCAAACAUUGGUCAAAAGACAACUGGAAGUGGGAAGCACGCGGAUGGUUGAAGAGACGUGACAAAUAAGAGAUGACUUGCAGCAAAUUGACGUGAAAGUCCCUCCCUUUAGUACCUGGCUUAUCAUGGCCCUGUCCAGUUAAUUGGUAGAGGGUUUGGGAGCUGUGAGUUCUGAUAGAGGAAUGCAUCAACUUACAUGAAUAGGUUGGUGUAUUGGGGUGGCCUGUUAUGUCCUCUGUAUUUCAGACCAAGGAAAGACAAUGUUUAAAGCUUACUAUGGAUUUACAAACGGUUUAGCCUCUAUAACAUCUUUGGAUGUAUUAGCAGUGUGAUUAUAGUUUGUUCUGUGUAAAUCCUUUGUCUGUUCCAAUGCUAACUGAAUGGUGAAUGAAUGUAUUUACAGUCAAUCAAUCAGUCAAUACAGUGUGGUUAUAGUGUGUUCUGUGUAAUUCCGUUGUCUUUUCCUAUACUAACUGAAUGGUGAAUGUCUGGUGUCAUUUUGUCUUCUUGUUGUAUGUGAGAAGAGAAGUUGUUUUUUAGGGGAAGGGAAAUGUUUCUUUCACAUUCUGUAUAUUUUAACCAAAUUAAACUCCAGUUUAAGAACUGGGAUAAACUGCAAAUGUCAUUGUGGGGUAGGCCACGUUAUAAAUAUGGUUAUAGCUCCUAAACUGAAUACGUUAUCAGCAUGUUUCCACUGUCCAUACCUGCCUUCACCAAAAUGAUGACUCAGUUUAUUUGGACUAGUAAAAGGGCAAUAAUUAACCUAGCUAGAUUACAGGCAAGGAUUUAUAAGGGAGGAUUAAACUGUAAUUUAUACUGAACAAAAAUAUAAACACAAUGUAAAGUGUUUAUCCCAUGUUUCAUGAGUUGAAAUAAAAAAUCCCAGAAAUGUUCCAUAUGCAAAAAAAGCUUAGUUCUCCAAAAUGUUUUGCACGAAUUUGCGUGAACAUUUCCCCUUUGCCAAGAUAAUCAUUCCACCUGACAGGUGUGGUAUAUUAAGAAGCUGAUUAAACAGCAUGAUCAUUAGCCAAG